rnacentral:rRNA from 1 species
CAAUAGCGUAUAUUAAAGUUGUUGCGGUUAAAAAGUUCGUAGUUGGAUUUCUGUGAAGGAUAACCGGUCCGCACUAUGUGCGUGUAUCUGUUUGUCCUUUGCAUCCUCGCGGAAUACGUCACUGUGCUUCACUGCAUGGGCGGGCUUCGCGACUUUACUUUGAGGAAAUUAGAGUGUUCACGGCAGGCUCACGCCAUGAAUAUAUUAGCAUGGAAUAAUAAUAUAGGACCUUGGUUCUAUUUUGUUGGUUUCUAGGGCUAAGGUAAUGAUUAAUAGGGACAAUUGGGGGCAUUCGUAUUAACGCGUCAGAGGUGGAAUUCUUGGAUUGCGUUACGACGAACUACUGCGAAAGCAUUUGCCAAAGGAUGUUUUCAUUUGAUCAAAAGCGAAAGUAAGGGGGAUC